UCUGCGCCUUCUCUCUGCUUCAAAUCAUUUUCUUCUCUCUGCAUCUUCUUUGCCUUCUUAGGGUUUGGGUUUGUGCUUGUGCUUGCUGCGUGCUUCUGUCACUCAUUUUCUGGUGAGGAAAACAACAUUCUUCUUCUUACCUCAUGGAUUUCUCUUUCAUUGCUCUUUGUGAUGAUCACAUGCUGCAUUUGUUGUUUUCUGAUUAUUUUUCUUCCUUUUAUUUCAUCCUCAGUGUUUGUUUCACCGUUUAAUCGAGGCUUAUUGUUGGUUGAAAUGUGCAUGAAAUGAAUUACUACUACUACUGAUGAAUUUCAAUGAGGUGGUAGUUGAUGCAUCUUUAAUAUGAAAUGCAUGUGUUCGUGAAUAAUUUGAAGCACUAAUCAAUUAAUGUAGCUGACUGUUGCGAGUAAUCGCUUCUUUGGAAGUGUUCCUGUACAUCUCUGCUAUUUGAGGCAAAUUUGUCUCUUGGAUCUUUCAAGGAAUAACUUGUUAGAAGGAAUUCCAACAUGUCUGAGCAAUUUUACUGCAAUGAGGGAAAUGGGAGUAAUCCGAAGAAAAAUUGUUACGAGACAAAGGUUGACAUAUGGAGUUAUGUCCUCAAAUGUUUAUGACUCUAAUGUGUUAUUGAUGUGGAAGGGUCAGGAAUAUUUGUAUUUGAAUCCUGAGUUUCUUUUGAAGAGCAUUGAUCUCUCAAGUAAUGAUUUAACAGGUGAAAUACCAAAGGAGGUAAGAUAUUUACUUGAAUUAGUUUCUUUGAAUUUAUCAAGAAACAGAUUAAGUGGAGAAAUUCUUCCUGAGAUUGGGAAUUUAACUUCACUAGAGUUAUCAAGAAAUCAUUUCUCUUGUGAAGUUCCUUCUACUCUUUCCAAAAUUGAUCGUCUUGCCAUGUUAGACUUAUCUAACAACUAUCUUGUUGGAAGAAUCCCCUGGGGAAGACAGCUUCAGACCUUUAGUGCCUCUACUUUUGAAGGAAAUACCGAUCUUUGUGGUGAACCACUUAACAAAAGCUGCCCUGUAAAUGGCACAGCAACAAAGCCUCAAGGACCAGCAAUUCAUGAUGAUGAUGACAAUUCAGUUUUCUGUGAAGCAUUAUAUAUGAGCUUGGGGUUAGGAUUCUUCACAGGCUUUUGGGGCUUAAUAGGUACAAUACCACUUUGGCAAUCGUGGAGAAAUGCUUACCUGAUGUUCUUAAACAAACUGACAGAAUAUAUAUUAGUAAUGGUUGAAGUGAACAUAGCAAAGUCCCAUAGGUGGCUCAAGGGCUAGUGGGAGCCAGUUCUUCCUGGAUGUUUCUUGUGAGCCAGGGCCGUUGGACUGAUGUCCAUGAUUGAGAGAGUACUGAAUUAAUUCUACACUUGUACUUUAAAUAUGCAUAACCAUUGUUUUUUCAAAGUUUUCAUUGUCAAAAAAUGGGCCAGGCUAAUAUAGUUUGCACAACUUUUUCCUGACACAAUCAAUCAUUUUAAUAUUCAAGUUGCUUGUUAGCCUCAUAUGCUUUUUCAGGCUGUCCGGGUCAAUAUUUUCAGAGGAUUCAAAUUCUCACUUUCAUGGUGGGCCUACACAUUUCCGAUGAGCAUGUUGAGUGGGAGGAUAUACAUGAGCAACGUGCACUCAACGUCUUUUUGGCCGUUGGUGAUUGUGUUCUAGUUGGCUUCCAGGCAGCGGUGGAAGCAUAGGCCAACAUCGUGCAUGAAGUUAAGGAGAAAAUCCCAUUACCUAUCGUCCAGGAACAAAAGUCUCCUAGAAAGAAGAAUCCAGUCUUUGGCCCAUUAGGCAUGGUUAUAAAAGUCUAGCCUCAAACUUGGUAAAAUCUAUAGUGACAGACAAUUAGCUGUCAUUACACGCCUCCUUAAUCCUCAAAGUUGAUGGAAGAAAUAUUGGUAGAAUAAAGUCUAAAGUCUAUCAUGCAUUUAUCUAUGGAUUUUUUUAUUUAUAUUGACAAUUUUUUUCCUAAGUAUAGGUUAUUUUUUUUAGUGAGGCUUCGUGCACCAAUAGGAGGCUCGAUGCACGUUUUAUCCUUGCAUAUAUCAUUUCUCAGAAGCAGUCAAGUCACUUACAAUUGCAGAAGCAGUCAAGUCACUUACAAUUGCAGAAGCAGUCAACACUAUAAUCUUACAACGGAAUAGAAUUCACAUCACUCUUGAGCAAUGUAAUCAUUAUAUAGUUUGGCCAAUCAUUACGUAGUUUUGUUAUAUGGGGGCACAAUAUUUUAUUUAUUUUUAUUUAUCUUUGAGCAUAUUUUUAUUA